CAGUCGCCACGGGAAUACAGAGGGUGCGAGCGUUAAUCGGAUUUACUGGGCGUAAAGCGUGCGUAGGCGGCUUUUUAAGUCGGAUGUGAAAUCCCUGAGCUUAACUUAGGAAUUGCAUUCGAUACUGGGAAGCUAGAGUAUGGGAGAGGAUGGUAGAAUUCCAGGUGUAGCGGUGAAAUGCGUAGAGAUCUGGAGGAAUACCGAUGGCGAAGGCAGCCAUCUGGCCUAAUACUGACGCUGAGGUACGAAAGCAUGGGGAGCAAACAGGAUUAGAUACCCCCGUAGUCCCUGUCUCUUAUAA
rnacentral:rRNA from 1 species